rnacentral:pre_miRNA from 1 species
AGAGUACUCCCUCCGUCCGGAAAUACUUGCCCUAAAAAUGCAUGUAUCUAGACUUAUUUUAGUUAUAGAUACAUUCAUUUUAGGACAAGUAUUUUCGGACGGAGGGAGUAGAAG